CUCGCGUCCCGCCGCCGCCGGGCUGCGACAGAACCGCGGCGUCCGGGUCAUCCCCUGGCGCAGCCGGGCUCCGCAGAGAUCGCCCGGCAGCUCCCGAGACCCCGGCCGCGGCCGCGCCGAUGCCGUAAAUCCGUCCCCACGGCGGCGUGGCCGCGGGUCAGCCCGGGGCAGCCCUGCGGGCGGAGCCGGGGGACGCGCCGAGCGCUCCUCGCACACACGGGCUGUGACACCCGCACGCAGCCGCUGCCCGGCCCGGCAGGCUCCGGCCCCCGGCGCUGCCCGGAGCUGGCAGCGCCCGUGGGAGCGCUGCCCGCCCGCCUUUAUGUGACCUUAACGCGGGUUUCUGUGCUUAGCGCCAAGUAGGAAACGCCGGUGUGUGGUGCCGCGUUAGGCUAAGCCUGUACUUUUAAAAAAAGUUAUUUCAGUAAGUUGGUUUAAUUCAGAUCCAGGCUUUUUCCCACGCUGGUUAAACACAAGACCGCUUCCAUGCUCCGCGUUUGCGGGGCAGAUGGCAGCAGUGAUUUAUAAAACAGACAUUGCAUUCUUUUUUAAUUAAGUAUCCUUGUAGAUUUUAUCUUCCCUGAAAUUGACAGGAGCACGUAAGACAUUACAUUAGUCUGCCAAAUCAUACGUGCCCUUUCGACUAACAGCUUGUAGAAAACCAAACCGUUUCCCAAAGAUUAAAAAAUAAUUUAAAAAAAAAGUGGGGGAGCGAAGUCUGGUUUUGUAACCUAUGGCCAGUUGUAGCAGUUAUGUUUUUUUGGCUGUAUGUAACACACCUUUGGAACUUGGCAGUUUUGCGUGAAAUGUUUUACUUACACCGUGAACUCGGCCAGUGCUGCCGUUCCUGAUACAUAGAUUAAUUUUGCUGUUAAUAAAAGUACACAGCCAGAUGCUCUAAUUGUAUUGUAGUUGCUUUACGGUUUGCUUUUUUUCCAGAGUAAAAGAAGUUCAGUCUAAAGAUGUUUAUAAAAGGUGUUUAUUAUAAAAUGAGUAGGUGAGGGGCUGAUACUGCCAUGAAGGAUGCUGGACCCUGUGCAGCAUGGAGGAUGUAUCCGACAGAAGUUACAAGGCAAAUACACACCGUGCAAGCGGCAGGUAAAUGUGAAGACAGCUGUUAAAAGGAGCGCUUGAAAGCGGGAACCACCAGCAUUGAAACUCCUCCGAUGAAUCACUCCAACAAGGAUGGAUACAUUUAUUAGCGAGACAAGUGUUCUGCAGUUAGCGCAUCCUUCUCUCUCCGGAGAUAAAGAGCACUACCCGCGAACUUUUCUGAGCCUGUUAGCGCUGUGAACACCCAAGUUUGGGUAUGGUUUGUCCCCUCCUUUACUGGAAGGAUAAUGGAGGCUUUUCUUAAAGGGUGCCGUGUUUUAACACCCGGGCCAGCUGCUAAGUAGGGCUAGAUUUCCGAUGGAUUUCCUUGAACGCGUUACUUAGUGGGGCUAAGGAAAGGCAGCCAUAAGGCAAGAGCAAGCCAGUGGAAUCCCAAACUCAAUUUCAGAGCCCUUGAGAAAAUACCUUGGCAGUUUGAACUCCACCUCAUUUCUGCUCUAUAGUGCUGGCCUGAGGCAUUGUAGCUACUAGGGACUCAAGCCCAGGAGGAGACCUGAAGGGCCUCAGCUAAGCAUAAAGCAGCACGAGCAUAUUGUUGCAAUAACAGUGUUCAAUGGAAAGGGAGCGAGCCAAGUUGUCUCCAGGCAAUGCAGGUAGCAAGCUUAGAUUGGCUUCCCAGCCAGACAAGUCCCAUUUCUUUUCACCAUUUGAACUUGUGCUAUACACGUCAUUUAUUCAAAUGUUCAUCUUUCCCCCACUUUGUGCCUUUGGCUCAAAAACCACUCUGUGACACUGCGGCAAUCUGUGAAAAAUUCCAGGUCACCGGGGAGGGGAGUAGUGGUGCCCUAGCGAGAGAACUCUUCAGUAAAAUAAUCACCACUGCUCUGGAAUACAAUGAGCCAUUAGUGACUUGAGCAAACUGCAGGAGACUUCAGUCACCAACACCGAUGUGCUCAGAACCCCAGGGAAGCUGAAAGCACUGUCUGCACUUGUAUGGAGUUCUCGAAGGGUGGGUAUGGCAGAUCCCUAGACCUUCACCUGCAGAAACUCAAAGGUGGCAGCCCUCCCCGGAGAAUGCCUUCUCGGAGUUAGUUCAAAGGACCCAGUCGGCUGGAGAUUCCCCUGGGCAGGGGUGAGGAGCCACGGUGGCUGGCAGGGAGGUGGCAGCGCUUGUCCCCUGAGCUGGGACUCAGAACAGCUCAGUGUGCUGGUGCUUGGUACGGUGACAAGGAGCAGAAGAAUGAACCUAAAUUUAGAAGCCUUUUUGCUUCCUGUGCUGCAAACAUUUGGGAUAAGCAAGAAUCCAACUGGAAACCUUCAGCAAGGCUUCUUUCUUGUAGAUCUUUGCAAUAGCCCACAGCAGCACUCAGUAGGCAGAGAUGUGGCAUGAGAUGUCAAAAGCACUUUCAGCAGGAACUAAUUUUGGCAGUUUCAUUCUGUAAAAAGUAUUGCUAUGGUACGAGUACAUCGUCUGUCACUUCACCACAUCUUGAAACUAGGCCACUGUGCAGCCAGACACAGGAGUUAUGGAGCCCGGAAAGAAAGGAGAUGAGAAACAGUGGGGUGUGGAGCCAGCUCCUUGAAACUUAUAUACCUUUUAUGUUAAGACUCUAAUGAGCAGACAAGCCCCUUGUGCAAAAAGAGAAGCCCACAGCGGUAACCAGAUCCCCGGUGCUGCUCUGGGGCUGGCUUUCAGCGGUUCCUGUGUCGCUGGCCACCCUGUGCGCAGCAGGCAGGGGAGGUGCCCGCUGCCGCCAGGCAGCACAGAGCCAAGCGGCUGCUUUCUGCAUUACAGCGCCAUUUCUCCACCCGAGUGUGGCUCCAGCCUUUGCUGGAAGGGUGCUUGUCCCCGGGGACAGCCAAGUGGAUGGAGUCUCGGAUUUCCUGCGGGUUCCUGCUCGGGUGCAGCUGAGCUGGACGGGACGGGCAGGAUUGCCCUCUAGAGGGACGGCAGGGGGGACUCGGAACGCCAGCGGUGCCACGAGUCAGGCACUGACUCACCCAAAUCGGGCAGAUUCUUAAAUUAGGCAGCUUGGAAUUCACCUUAAAUCAUUUAGGCAUGUAUUUGAUAUAAAUAAACUUCAAAGAGACUGAAUAUAUUAGGGGGAAAAAAAAAAAAGAAAAGAAAGCAGGUUCCAACAUUUUCUGCCUUGAAAUAAAAGGGUCUGAAAGGCACCAUUAAAAAAUCG